rnacentral:lncRNA from 1 species
UUUUUGGUGGACUUGGUGCACGAGUGAUGUCCACGUGUUGCUUCAUUGUUUGUCCAAAUGGCGGCCACGUGUUGAAUUUUCAUUUGCUUGGUGGAGGCCAAAAAUUUCUUUUUAAAAUGGAAAGGUGGACUGGAGGUGUCUGUUGGGAAACAGACUUAGGAACCGUGCUGUUGGUGGUGGAGUUGGAUCAAAGGUGAUUAAAAAGAAAAGACUGCAAAAUAGAAACUGAUUAGCGAAAAAGCCCUAACUAAAAACCCUUAUUUUUGCCUGUGAAAGAAUCACAGCGGGUUAAUUCUUUUUUCUUUUUUCUUUUUCUGAUUUUUUCUUUCUUUUCUUGAUUUUUUCUUUUUUCUUCUUUUUCUUUUUCCAAUUUUUUCUUUGAUUUUUUCAAUUUCCAGAUUCUUUCUUCUUCUUCAUAUUUCCACUUUUCUCUGGAAAUUCUUUUUUUUCAUUUUUCUCUUUUGCUUUUUUCUGAAUUUUCAUUUUCAUUUUUUUUUUUUUUUAGCAGUGUCCAAUACAAGGACUAAAAGAAAAGAAGCAGCUAAAGUUGCAGAACUGAAAGAAAUAUUUACAAAAAUAUACAAAAUAUCAGAACCAGGUGGCUAAGCAUUUUCCCCUAAAUUGUCACAUUUGGGAGAAGAUGCUUCUAGUAUCGUAGGAUUUCCUUGUUUUUCUUCAGUGUUUCCUAUACUAGGGUGUGGUAAUGGUUCUGAAGAGGAUUCAAUUUUUCGGAAAGGUUUGGCAAUUGGCUGUGGAUAUCUUUUGAGGGAAGGCCUUUGUGGUGGAAAAGGUGCUGAGGAUAAAAAAGGUUUUACUGAGAUAGAGGGAUGGACUACUGGGAUUAGUGGGUUUUGAAAUGGAGUAUUUUGAAAUGGAGUAUUUAUGUCGGUCAUAGGAGGAAAGACCAAACUCGGUGUAGUUGUCAUUAUAGGAUGAUACUUUGGAGGAAGAUAAGAGGAAGAUUGAGGUAGAGAUACAAUACCUUGUUGUGAGGGAUGCUUGAGGUAUUUGAUCUGUUGUUCCAGAAUAGCAAUUCUUUGGAUGUUUUUCUGAUCCUUUGUUCUCAAGUCAUCACAAAUAGUGUUCAGUUUUUGAAGCUGUGUU